CGGCCACAUUGGAACUGAGACACGGUCCAAACUCCUACGGGAGGCAGCAGUGGGGAAUAUUGCACAAUGGGCGAAAGCCUGAUGCAGCAACGCCGCGUGAGUGAUGAAGGCCUUCGGGUCGUAAAACUCUGUCCUCAAGGAAGAUAAUGACGGUACUUGAGGAGGAAGCCCCGGCUAACUACGUGCCAGCAGCCGCGGUAAUACGUAGGGGGCUAGCGUUAUCCG
rnacentral:rRNA from 1 species